rnacentral:rRNA from 1 species
GACGAACGCUGGCGGCGUGCCUAAUACAUGCAAGUAGGACGCAGUUGCGAACGGGUGAGUAAUACGUGAGUAACUGCCCUCCUUUUUGGGAUAAGCCUUGGAAACGGGGUCUAAUACCGAAUAGGGGGAUGGGCUCGCGGCCUAUCAGCUUGUUGGUGGGGUGAUGGCCUACCAAGGCGGUGACGGGUAGCCGGCCUGAGAGGGUGACCGGCCACAUUUGGACUGAGAUACGGCCCAGACUCCGACGGGAGGCAGCAGUGGGGAAUCUUCGGCAAUGGGGGGAACCCUGACCGAGCAACGCCGCGUGAGUGAAGAAGGUUUUCGGAUCGUAAAGCUCUGUUGUUAAGGAAGCGGUACUUAACCAGAAAGGGACGGCUAACUACGUGCCAGCAGCCGCGGUAAUAC